AACACAUGCAAGUCGAACGGUAACAUUUCUAGCUUGCUAGAAGAUGACGAGUGGCGGACGGGUGAGUAAUGCUUGGGAACUUGCCUUUGCGAGGGGGAUAACAGUUGGAAACGACUGCUAAUACCGCAUAAUGUCUUCGGACCAAACGGGGCUUCGGCUCCGGCGCAAAGAGAGGCCCAAGUGAGAUUAGCUAGUUGGUAAGGUAACGGCUUACCAAGGCGACGAUCUCUAGCUGUUCUGAGAGGAAGAUCAGCCACACUGGGACUGAGACACGGCCCAGACUCCUACGGGAGGCAGCAGUGGGGAAUAUUGCACAAUGGGGGAAACCCUGAUGCAGCCAUGCCGCGUGUGUGAAGAAGGCCUUCGGGUUGUAAAGCACUUUCAGUUGUGAGGAAAAGUUAGUAGUUAAUACCUGCUAGCCGUGACGUUAACAACAGAAGAAGCACCGGCUAACUCCGUGCCAGCAGCCGCGGUAAUACGGAGGGUGCGAGCGUUAAUCGGAAUUACUGGGCGUAAAGCGCACGCAGGCGGUUUGUUAAGCUAGAUGUGAAAGCCCCGGGCUCAACCUGGGAUGGUCAUUUAGAACUGGCAGACUAGAGUCUUGGAGAGGGGAGUGGAAUUCCAGGUGUAGCGGUGAAAUGCGUAGAUAUCUGGAGGAACAUCAGUGGCGAAGGCGACUCCCUGGCCAAAGACUGACGCUCAUGUGCGAAAGUGUGGGUAGCGAACAGGAUUAGAUACCCUGGUAGUCCACACCGUAAACGCUGUCUGCUAGCUGUGUGUGCCUUUAAGGCGUGCGUAGCGAAGCUAACGCGCUAAGUAGACCGCCUGGGGAGUACGGCCGCAAGGUUAAAACUCAAAUGAACUGACGGGGGCCCGCACAGCGGUGAAGCAUGUGUUUAAUUCGAUGCAACGCGAGACCUUACCUACACUUGACAUGCUGAGAGUACUAGAGAUAGUUUCGUGCUCGGGACUCAGACACAGGUGCUGCAUGCUGUCGUCAGCUCGUGUCGUGAGAUGUUGGUUAAGUCCCGCAACGGAGCGCAACCCUUGUCCUUAGUUGCCAGCCUUAAGUGGCACUCUAAGGAAACUGGCCGGUGUGAAAAACGGAGGAAGAUGGGGGC
rnacentral:rRNA from 1 species